UUUUUGAAAAUUCAAUUAGUAUAAAUAAGAGCCUUGGGCUCUCAUAUUUCUUGCACCAUUCUCUUGAUUCAAGAGUCUUUCUCUCCUUAUCCCCCGAGCAUUUCGGUCCCUCGUGAUUCGACUUCUCUUUCUGUAGCUUAGUAUAGUAAGGUGAGCGCUGAAGCGCUGCACGAAUCUUUCUUAGAAAGAUUCAGCGACGAAGUUCUGCCCCUGCAGAGCCCGACUCCUAGCUAAAACCCCCUUGUAAGUUUCGUCGAAGGAAAAUAGAAUCGUUAGAAGCAAGCGCUGCUCGAUUUUGGAAUCAUCACCUUAACAAGUAGUGGCGCAUGAGCAUAGGUGUGAUGUUUUGGACGAGGGAUUACGGAUAUAGGCCUGUAGAUAUGAAAUAAUGUAGUAAGGCUUAUAUUGUACUGUUUAUGCUUUUGAUCUGUACGAACAUGACAUCCCGAGUCUUUUAAUGAAAUACAUUUCUAUGGAAAUGCUUUUGAUAAAUCUUUAUCAUAUUUUUGUUUUGGGACAAAUUCCGCAACACUUUCAUUUAAAAUGUAACUCUGAUUUUUAAACAAAGCAUAAACAAACCGGUCUUUUGUGGCCGUGAUUUUGGGGAUGUCACAGUUGGUAUCAGAGCAUUAGUUUAAGCGAACUAGGAAUUUGUAGGAUUUCUAGACUUAAACUUAGAAUGCUAAGCGAUGAUUGUGAGGUGUGAGCACUAGCUUAUUUUAGGAAUUGUGCCUAAAAUGCUUUUAUGUGCUAAAUGCUUUGUGCAUAAUAUGCUGUUAAUUGUUCGGAUCUAUGGUCUGUUGCCGACCGGAUCUGGAAACCUUAUGUGUUUAGAAUUCUAAACGUACGACUACGAUAUUAGAACUAGCAUGUAAACGUUUCGG